rnacentral:rRNA from 1 species
CAGCCGCGGUAAUACGUAGGGUGCAAGCGUUAAUCGGAAUUACUGGGCGUAAAGCGUGCGCAGGCGGUUUUGUAAGACAGAGGUGAAAUCCCCGGGCUCAACCUGGGAACUGCCUUUGUGACUGCAAGGCUAGAGUACGGCAGAGGGGGAUGGAAUUCCGCGUGUAGCAGUGAAAUGCGUAGAUAUGCGGAGGAACACCGAUGGCGAAGGCAAUCCCCUGGGCCUGUACUGACGCUCAUGCACGAAAGCGUGGGGAGCAAACAGGAUUAGAUACCCCUGUAGUCCCUGUCUCUUAUACACA